GCCUGUGAGACUCUCCGCGGAGGACGCGGCUGAGCCAUGCUGACGUGCAGAACUUCCAGCUAUGGAAUUUGUGUUUAGGCUGUUCGGUUUGUGGUCAUUUGUUACAGAGCAAUAGAAAAAUAAUACAGGGGUCUUCUGUCAUUUUGUCUGCUAAAUCUGGCAACUUAAAUCCCAGGAAGGGGCCCAUGGACUUCGGACUGCAUCCAUGGCACAAAAAGAUGAAGAACCGGGCUAGAGGCCAGGCCCAGUGGCUCAUGCCUAUAAUCCCAGCACUUUGGGAGGC
rnacentral:lncRNA from 1 species